ensembl:lncRNA uncharacterized LOC107592861
GCAGACAAACUCAUGAAGACAAUCAUUCGUGAAUGUCACCACAGUGAUGCCAUCCUUGUCCACUACCACAAAUAUCAUUACUACAUUCCCUAUCACUAACACUUCCAUCCCCUGGACAGGGGUCACUGCACCACUCAUAGACACGUCCGAGGAAAGCCAGUCCCAUUGGCUGCUGCUAUUAAUCUUAAUGUUGAUAAUCUUGUUCAUGGCUGGAUUCUGUAUGCUGAUGAAAAACGGGGCAAAGAAAACCUUUUUAAAAUGGCAUGGUUUAAUAAACAGAGGACAUGAAGAUCAUCAACUCUUGAGUCAAACUGCAGGUGAUCAUCAAAUUUCGUCCAAUUCCCAAUCCCACACCUUGGAGAUAGAGAUACCUCUCGGCAGUGAUGACAGAGAGGUCAAAGGUCAGAGUACGGGGCUGACGCCCCAAUCUGGGGCUGUGCAGCAGGUCACAAUGGAGCACAAUGGGAAGGGUGAGAACGUCAGCAAUACUGUUGGGUCCAUCUACAUCUACUCUCCUGGAAUGGUGAUUUUGGGCUCCAACUCGGGUGAUAAAAAGGAAGAGGCAGGAGUUUGCGAAGAAGGCGUUCCCCUCAUCAGCAGACCACAGCAAGAGUCAAAUCCACCCUCGCAAGAGAUCAGAAUAAAAAUAAGUGCACAGGAAGAGGCCGAGGAGGAACUGAACUUGAGUUUUCCUGUGCCGGCAACUGGAAAGUGAGAACUCGAAUGUGGUUUCUUGCAUCUUUCAUGAUGGCCUUUAGGAAGAUUCCAGGUUUGAAUCACAAGGCUGAAAAUCACAAGUGGCCAGAUAUAAGAUUCCUGGUAAAGCAUAACAUCAGCAAUGGCCAAGUCAUGGUUUCAGUUCCAGAGAAACAUGUACGCUGGCAAAAUGUACAGGCUACCUUGAUUGCACUGUAUGUCGAAUACGGAAUGCGCAGAUGUACAAGAUGGAAAACGCUGAGUAAUAACUUUUGCUUUCUUGCACAUCAAGGAAAAGAUUUAUGCUUAAUUUAAGUUGGUCAGUUUUUUGAAAUGCACUUGUCUGAAUUGCUGCUGCAGCGAAAAUGAGAAAAACACAUGCAUGAAGACUGUGUACAGGAGGUACAGACGAAAGGGUGAGAAAAAUGCCCUCAAAGGUGUUAUGAGUUUUCAAAAUGAAUAUCCUAUAAGACAGAGGCAGCAUAACUGAAAUGCACAUGAUGUGUAUGAAUUGUUUUAUUGUUUAAGCGAGUAGUUGAGAACCUAACAUCUGCGUCUGUAUGUUUCUAAUCAGACUUUUGUUCUACUAUGUGGGUGUUUCAUAUGCAUGUCUAAAAAUACCCAACCUCACCUUCGGAAAGAAGGUGUCUGAUUUGACUGUUGUAGGAGGUCUGGUCGGGACAGACUGUGUUUACAGCACAUGUUCAGAAUGACAUUUCUUCAUUCAUCUCACUUUUUUUUUUUGCUUUGUUUGC